rnacentral:tRNA from 1 species
AAGACUCUAGUAAAGCCUAUAACACUGCCUUGUCGAGGCAGAGUCGCGAGUUGGAAUCUCGCGUGUCUUA